GACGAACGCUGGCGGCGUGCUUAACACAUGCAAGUCGAACGGAAAGGCCCUGCUUUUGUGGGGUGCUCGAGUGGCGAACGGGUGAGUAACACGUGAGUAACCUGCCCUUGACUUUGGGAUAACUUCAGGAAACUGGGGCUAAUACCGGAUAGGAGCUCCUGCUGCAUGGUGGGGGUUGGAAAGUUUCGGCGGUUGGGGAUGGACUCGCGGCUUAUCAGCUUGUUGGUGGGGUAGUGGCUUACCAAGGCUUUGACGGGUAGCCGGCCUGAGAGGGUGACCGGCCACAAUGGGACUGAGAUACGGCCCAGAGUCGUACGGGAGGCAGCAGGGGGGAAUAUUGCACAAUGGGCGGAAGCCUGAUGCAGCAACGCCGCGUGCGGGAUGACGGCCUUCGGGUUGUAAACCGCUUUCGCCUGUGACGAAGCGUGAGUGACGGUAAUGGGUAAAGAAGCACCGGCUAACUACGUG
rnacentral:rRNA from 1 species